rnacentral:tRNA from 1 species
UGCAUCGGCCGGGAAUUGAACCCAGGCCGCCCGCGUGGCAGACGAGCAUUCUACCACUGAACCACCGAUGG